UACGAAGGGGGCUAGCGUUGCUCGGAAUCACUGGGCGUAAAGGGUGCGUAGGCGGGUCUUUAAGUCAGGGGUGAAAUCCUGGAGCUCAACUCCAGAACUGCCUUUGAUACUGAAGAUCUUGAGUUCGGGAGAGGUGAGUGGAACUGCGAGUGUAGAGGUGAAAUUCGUAGAUAUUCGCAAGAACACCAGUGGCGAAGGCGGCUCACUGGCCCGAUACUGACGCUGAGGCGCGAAAGCCAGGGGAGCAAACGGG
rnacentral:rRNA from 1 species